UACGGGGGGGUAAGCGUUGUUCGGAAUUACUGGGCGUAAAGGGCUCGUAGGCGGCCAACUAAGUCAUACGUGAAAUCCCUCAGCUUAACUGGGGAACUGCGUGUGAUACUGGAUGGCUUGGAUGUGGGAGAGGGAUGCGGAAUUCCAGGUGUAGCGGUGAAAUGCGUAGAUAUCUGGAGGAACACCGGUGGCGAAGGCGGCAUCCUGGACCAUUAUUGACGCUGAGGAGCGAAAGCCAGGGGAGCAAACGGG
rnacentral:rRNA from 1 species